AACGCUGAAGGAACGGCAGCAGUAUGGCCCCAAUGGCGUCAGGCUGCGCCAGAGGAGGCUCGGACUGGAUAUCAGGAAUAAAUUUUUCACAGAAAAGAUUAUGGGGCGCUGGAACAGCUGCCCAGGAAGGUGGUGGAGUCCCCAUCCCCGGAUGUGUUUGAAAGACAGACACAUACAAAAUAUGCAGGAAGAACAAAACAAAGAUUCUGGUCUUACUCUGUUAGUGAUAUUCAGAGAGGCUGUGUCAUACUCCCAUCCAAACAUCACAUGCUGACUCUGGAUGUUUUUAUGCAUUGGUAAAGUGAAAACUGGUGAAGUGGAAAAAGCCCCCAAGCUGCUUCAAGCUCACUUCACUUCCAGAGGAGACGAUUGGCAAAUUAUUUUCCAUGUGAUACUGAAUAAGAUGACCCACGCUAUCAAAUAUAUGGUCUUUGGUUCUCACCUAGUGGAAGAAGCAAAAGAAUAUAUUUAUGGUCAGAUUGUGCUUCGGCUGGUGGGACGUGAACCUAGUGCAUUAAAGUCAAAAGGUAUUUAAGCCACUGAACGCACUGCAGCAGGAUCGUUGGGCUGUAGAAUGUGAUUCAGACCUAUCCUUUGACUUACCCUUAGCUGACACGAAAAGCAGUUGACCAAGUUAAAGAGACUGCAGGUAGAACUGGGCUGAAGCUGCUAAGGGGAAUGAAAUAACCAUUCUUCUUUUCUCUACAGAAGAGUGAUAGUUUUCCCUAAACCCCAUAAGGAUUACUUUUCUCAUUUAAUCUCUCCUCUGAGAGAUGUCAUUCAAGAGUGCUCUUCUAGGCCUGAGAAGAAGCAAGUAGAAUUGAAGUGACAACAAACCAGCUCUCCCUUUUCUGUAUCCAGAAGUGUUUUACUAAUCAAAUUCAUUAUUUGAUGUUAGGGUUAUUUUUCUAGCUAUGUAAUAACAACUCAAAGGCUAUAUUAAGUGUAUAUACUAAUUAUCAGCUCCUGGACCAACAACGAUAUUUAAGUACCUCACUUCUGUUUCCAUGAUACUUGGGUGCUUAUAAGUUUUUGAAUGGAACUUCUGAGCCUACUGAAGUCACUGACUAAAAUUAAAUUAGCCUAGAUGGAAUCAGAUCAGUUCCACUUCCUGGAAUGCACCCAUGUAUUUCAACUGAAAUAUCUGAGCAGCCCUGAA